rnacentral:rRNA from 1 species
CCUACGGGAGGCAGCAGUGAGGAGUAUUGGUCAAUGGACGAGAGUCUGAACCAGCCAAGUAGCGUGAAGGAUGACUGCCCUAUGGGUUGUAAACUUCUUUUAUAUGGGAAUAAAACGUUCCACGUGUGGGAUUUUGUAUGUACCAUAUGAAUAAGGAUCGGCUAACUCCGUGCCAGCAGCCGCGGUAAUACGGAGGAUCCGAGCGUUAUCCGGAUUUAUUGGGUUUAAAGGGAGCGUAGGUGGAUUGUUAAGUCAGUUGUGAAAGUUUGCGGCUCAACCGUAAAAUUGCAGUUGAAACUGGCAGUCUUGAGUACAGUAGAGGUGGGCGGAAUUCGUGGUGUAGCGGUGAAAUGCUUAGAUAUCACGAAGAACUCCGAUUGCGAAGGCAGUUCACUGGACUGCAACUGACACUGAGGCUCGAAAGUGUGGGUAUCAAACAGGAUUAGAUACCCCAGUAGUC